CUUAGACCUCUGAACUCCGGGGCACAGAGGCGACUUCCUCCUCGCAGACUUUAGGCGCCACUGCUGGGUCCGGAAAAGAAAGAGAAAGGACCCAGUGCGGUCGCUUACAGAACCCAGGGCGGGGUUGGGCUGGGCGCCCGCGCGCGUUUUCAAGCCUGCGGCCCGGAGUUCACUGCGAGGACUGAGAUCACCCGUCACCCCGCCCUGGUCUACAAGUGUUUGCUGAUAUAGAAACGGAAUAACGGCGCUGUGGGCUGGGGAGGACGGAGUUGCCUUCAGGCUUCUGGUCUCCAGCCGCGGGGCACUCACAGCUGCCGCUGUGAAAAUGCAGACCUGUGGGGCAGGAAUUCCGAGUCCGGGGUGGAGCGCGAUGUGGAAUCUGACUCGCUUGAAACAGCACCGCGGUGGAUUCGGAUCCGGAGGACUUCUCAUGAAGUACAGACUCCUCCACCUCCAGGAAAAAGAGACAAAGUCCACUGAGAAGGACCUGAGGGAUGCCUGUGACCCCGCCCCUGAGAAAAGAAACAAAUUCCUUUCCACCCAAAAUAUGACAGCGCCUGUGGUCCAGGGCUGGAGCCCAUAGUGGAUGCCCAGCAGCCAACUUCCUGGAAUUGAGACCUCCCCAGCAGGCUUGGGGGUGAAAAGAGAAACUAGACUCCAAAAGGGACACCAGUGCUCUGUUGGGGAGAGAGGAGCACACCACUGCAUCCCACCCUGAAGAAUGGGAGUGAGAAGAGAGGACAGGUGAACCCACCAUGGCUCCAGUGAGAUGGGAGCGGGGAACGCCCAAGAAGGAGGACAGCCAUGGGGUGGCCCCAGCCAAAGCCACCAGACAUCAUUACAUGUCUGGGGCCCUCUCAGGCCGACAUGAGUUUUACUGCUCCACACACUCUUUUGUUAAGAGCUAGCUGUCAGUAGAUCAGUGAGAGAGCAACUUUGAUACAGAGGAAACCAUGCCUGAAAUGGGUCAUCCCAGAAGAAUUUAGUAGUAGGUUCUAUGCUUCCCUCCAGGGCCUCAUGGGCGUGGGCAACUUUUUUUUUUUUCCAGCCACUCACCCUAGGUAAUGAAGAAAGCUCUCUGAACUGUGUCCUUGCUAGGCACACAGGCCCCUACCACAUGUACAUGGCAUGGGAGUCAUGGCUAAGGCAGGGUGAGACUCCUAUUUGAGGCCAGGAAAAGCUAAUGACCCUACAUUUGGUUCAGUCCUUGUGGGGUCCUGACUAGGGUGUGGGCCACUGUGUUCCCACAGAUGCUCUGUUAGCCCUUAGGCUGUGAGAUACACAGGCAAAUGUUAUAUUGAAGCCUUUGUUUCUCUUACACGGAGGCAACACUACUGCAGCAGAGCAAACCUUAUUGUAUCAGUGCACCAACCCCAAGUUCAUGUUCAUUACAGCAGGAAAAACUAACAUGUGGUGAAUUCUGCCUCCACAAGGGACAAGGACCUGAUAAGACUACAAUGACCAGGAUGGCCAAUAUCCCUGUCUUCUUGCAACUCAAACUUUGCCUGGUUACCACCUACUUGCCCCAACUCCUUGGACUCCAGCCCUCCGAGGACAGCCAGACAUCUGAAGGAAGUGCCAGGCACAGAUGCCAGGUUGCAUAAGUGCUGGCCCCUGAGCAACUGGAGAAGCUGUUAGGUCCCAGCUGGCCUAGAGAUCCCUGGCUCAGGGAGUAUAACUGGAUGCCUUGAACAAAGACAUGGGGUCACUGGAAAGAGAGGACCGGCUGUCCCUCCCCACUAAGAAAUAAUUAACUGUUAGAUGAGGGGGAAUUCCUUUUCAAGGGCUCUGUGGACUGUGCUGCUCUGGAGGGGGUAGGGAGAGGGAGGAGCCCUGAGGUCUGGGCUGGGGUGUGGUUGGGAAGGAGCUGAGAGCUGAGAGCUGUAACUACACAAGGAGCUGCAGGGGUGAGGUUGGUGCAGGGUGGGAUUUAGAGGAUUUCCCCCAGACUCCUGUGCUGAUCCCCUUCAUCUCCUCCACCCCCACCCUUGGUGUCUGUCAACAUGCGGGGGUGCCCUCAUCUUCCCACUGCCCCUGGAGCUGUUCUACUCUUCCACGCUUGCCUUGGGGUUUUCAGAGCAGCAUCUUUGUGAGUCCUGGAGUGCUAGGGACCAGGAGGGGAGAGGAGGCAAUAGCCUCCUUUAAUUUGGCAACAGCUUUUCGUUAUCAUCUCCACUUUCCAAGGCAGGAAAAGUGAAGGCAACAGCUCUGAGAGAUCCUGGAAGAGGAAAAACCAUGGCGGGUGAGGCAGGGAGCUGUCUGAGUUUCCUAGCAGACAUCAGGAGCCCGCCCUUCCAGGCCUGGGCUUUGCUUCAGUGCCUGGCCCUGCAUAGGCCCCUGCCCCUGUCCCGUUCUGCUGCCCCCACCUCCCUCUCAGCCUGGCCCCAGACAGAAUCCAGACCAACUCCUGUCUGCUGUGAAAAAUGUUCCUGCCAGUUUAGGCAGAUCUUGCUUUAGAGCACUGGUGCCCAGCCUUCCACAGGUCUUGUGUCUGUUUUUCUUGGCACUAUGUUUCUUCUCAUGUAUUCUUCUGAAUUGGCAAGGCAGGAAUUACAUCACUGGUUUGCAGAUGAGGAAACUGACUCAUAUGGUUUCAUUCAGCACUCAUUCACUGUGAAAGUGUCUGUCAGGGCCAAUUGUGGGCCAGAUGUGCCCAGGGUUCUAUAGCUAGCUGGUGGAAAGGCCUGAAGGGUUCAUAUUCAGGUCCACUUGACUUGAAAACUCAUAUUGACCUUACUUAUGUACUAAUUCCCACCUUACAAUCCAUGCCACAAACUUUAUUGUCUUAAGAAGUUGCCACAGCAGCCUUCAGCAGCCACCUUGUCAUCAGUCAGCAGUCAUCAACAUUGAGGCAAGACCCUACUCCAGCAAAAACAUUAGUAUUAGCUGAAGCCUCAGAUGACU